rnacentral:misc_RNA from 1 species
AACGCACAUUGCGCCCUAUGGCUAUUCCGUAGGGCAUGCCUGUCUCAGUGUCAUUUAAUAUCUCUCAAGCUUUUAUUUGCUUGGAUUAUUUGGAGUACGCAACGUAAAAAUUGCAGCUCAGAAAAUUAUAGGCAGUACUUUGGUGUAUAGCAGAUAGUAAUAGAAUUAUCAUCUGUAGAAGCCAAUGGGACUUGCCAGGAAUUAAAGUAUUAUUUUAUGGAGUUGACCUGAGAUCAGGUAGGGAUACCCGCUGAACUUAA